rnacentral:rRNA from 1 species
ACUCCUACGGGAGGCAGCAGUGGGGAAUAUUGGACAAUGGGCGAAAGCCUGAUCCAGCCAUGCCGCGUGUGUGAAGAAGGUCUUCGGAUUGUAAAGCACUUUAAGUUGGGAGGAAGGGCGAGUAAGUUAAUACCUUGCUGUUUUGUACGUUACCAACAGAAUAAGCACCGGCUAACUUCGUGCCAGCAGCCGCGGUAAUACGAAGGGGUGCAAGCGUUAAUCGGAAUUACUGGGCGUAAAGCGCGCGUAGGUGGUUCAGCAAGUUGGAUGUGAAAUCCCCGGGGCUCAACCUGGGAACUGCAUCCAAAACUACUGAGCUAGAGUACGGUAGAGGGUGGUGGAAUUUCCUGUGUAGCGGUGAAAUGCGUAGAUAUAGGAAGGAACACCAGUGGCGAAGGCGACCACCUGGACUGAUACUGACACUGAGGUGCGAAAGCGUGGGGAGCAAAC